GAGCACGAAAGACCUUGAAGAAGAGUAUUUCCCUUCUACCCUCACUGGGUAUCUGAUCAAUCUCAUGUGUGAAUACUUUUUUGACUUGGGAAUGAAUACUUUGAGCUGGCUAAUGGGAUUUCUAUUGCGGUGCACCAUCUCAUAUAUCAUUAAGCUGCCAAUCUUGAUCCACAUCACACUUUGAGGGAAAUGGAGGUGAACAAAUUCGAAGAGGAUGAUGAAAAGUUUUUGAACUGUUGUAAAAGUUUGAAUACAUUAAUUUGAUUUUGUGAAAUAUAUUCAUUUGUGAAAUAUAUUGAACUAUUGUAAGAGUACUUUUUGAACUAUUGUAUACACAUUUUGAAUAUUAAUGCUUUAUAAGUAUGUGUAUGUACACAACACAUAUUAUAUUUUGAAGUUUAUGGAAAAUCUAUCAAUUUGAAUUA